rnacentral:lncRNA from 1 species
UGCGCGCAGGUGCGCGUGCACGCAACAGCCCGCACGCACCGGCACGCACGCGCCCGGCCAGUGAGCCAGGGAAGGACAGGUUUGGGUUUGGGGUUUUUUGUUUGUUUGUUUGUUUGUUUUGGGGGGCCUUCGCGCUGAGCUGCAUCCUCGGCCCUUUUUAUUUGCCGACAGAAUCUGGAUGAGUCAGUAAGUUGUCCUGGCGGGGCUUUUCCUUCCUCAGGCUCCCUCGUGCUGAACUCUGGGCGCGCGCCCAGCUGAGGACGUGGCCCGAGGGAGGGAGGUCAGCGGGAGCUUCACAACGUUUGGCCCUGGUUGUGCGCCCUGCAGGGUGUGCCGUGAAGCUGUUGGUGGUUCUGAGUGAUGAGUUCUAAUAAGCCACAUCCUGUAGGACAUCAGCACACCUUUGGGGGCAACACAGGACUGAGAUGUAGCCUGCACAGGUCAGAGGUCCAAAGUGAGUUUCACUGGACAAACAUCAAGGUGUCAGUAGGUUGGGGCACUGCGACUCAAGCCUGGGUUCCUGGUACUCUGGAGGUGAAGGUGGACAAUCUGAUCCUGGGAGUUCAAGACCAACCUGGACAACACAGCCAGAGCCUGUCUGUAAAAAUGUAAAUAAAAUCAAUUUAAAAAGAAAAUAAAGAGCUGAGUGUGGUGGUGCCUGCUUAUACUCCCAGUACUCAAGGAGGUUGAGACAAGAGGAUCACAAGUUCAAGCUUGGCCUGGGCAACUUGAGCAAGCUCUUGUCUCAAAAACUAUAAGGGGCUGGAGGCGUAGCUCAGUGUGAAGGCUUGGG